GGAGUUGAGGCUCAGUGGUAGAGCAUUUGCCUAGCAUGUGUGAGGUCCUGGGUUCAAUCCCCAGCACCA
rnacentral:tRNA from 1 species